rnacentral:rRNA from 1 species
GAUGAACGCUGGCGGCGUGCCUAAUACACGCAAGUCGAGCGAACAGAUGAGGAGCUUGCUCCUCUGACGUUAGCGGCGGACGGGUGAGUAACACGUGGAUAACCUACCUAUAAGACUGGGAUAACUUCGGGAAACCGGAGCUAAUACCGGAUAAUAUAUUGAACCGCAUGGUUCAAUAGUGAAAGACGGUUUUGCUGUCACUUAUAGAUGGAUCCGCGCCGCAUUAGCUAGUUGGUAAGGUAACGGCUUACCAAGGCGACGAUGCGUAGCCGACCUGAGAGGGUGAUCGGCCACCCUGGAACUGAGACACGGUCCAGACUCCUACGGGAGGCAGCAGUAGGGAAUCUUCCGCAAUGGGCGAAAGCUUGACGGAGCAACGCCGCGUGAGUGAUGAAGGUCUUCGGAUCGUAAAACUCUGUUAUUAGGGAAGAACAAAUGUGUAAGUAACUAUGCACGUCUUGACGGUACCUAAUCAGAAAGCCACGGCUAACUACGUGC